rnacentral:lncRNA from 1 species
AGUAUAGUUCAUAUAACAAGUUAUAGAGAUACAUAAUUACAUAUAACCAGUUAUAUAGAGCUUUUGAUUUUGCCAAGUUUCUUUCUUUGUGCAAGGAUGGAGUUGAUGUGUACAUAUUGAGUUGAUUUUCCACCAUUGAAGGGACUGAACUAACCCAGAGGAAAUAUUUUUAAAGGCAGUGGUUUGCCACGCCCACAGCUGUCUUCUACUGUCAGGUCUUGCUGUUUUCAAUUCAGUAUGCUAGCACCCUCUUAAACUAACAGUUUUGAAGAUACGACUUCUCAAUUGUAGCUAUACACGGAUCUGAACAAGACGGAGCCUCUCGACGGAACAAAAAGUGUUGAUCUUUUUGGAACAAUUAGAGGUUGACUAUGUUCUCUUCACCGAUCCACCUUCAACAUCAACCUCAACUCCUUGAAAGACGAUGCAACCGCUGGAAAGACGAUGCUGGAAAGUCAACCAAGAUACAAAAAGCUACAAAGAAAGAUCAGGAUGCACUCCUCAAAUUCCAAAAAGACAACAAGACAGCCGGAGGACACAUCAGGUCACUCACGAAGAAUGCUAUCUUUGAUCUUUUUGUGGAUAUCAAAUCUGCAAAAUCCAUUUUGGAUACACUGACAAACAAAUAUGGAACUAAUCAUGCAGGGAAAAAGGAAAUAUGUGAUAGGCAACUGGCUGAACUUCAAGAUGGUGGACAACAAGCGUAUCUUGGAUCAAGUGCACCAUUAUGAGAAUUUCACUGCUGAUGUUCUCUAUGAAGACAUGAACAUUUAUGAGAAAUUCCAAGCAAACAUGUUGAUAGAGCGUCUAUUUGAUUCCCGGCCAGACUACAGAAAUCAUCUCAAACACAGGAAAAUGGACCUCACCCUGGAGGAAUUAAUCUGUCACAUGAAGAUCGAAGAGGCCAACAGACAAAAGGACAAGGGUAUCACUGAUGAUGCUUUCAAUCCUUUUGGUAACGCUAAUCUGGUUGGAUCUUCUGUGAAACACAAUGACAGGUUGAAAUCCAACAAGAAGAAAGGAGUUUUGUCAACCAAAAGCUCUCAACCGUUUAAAAGAUCGGGAUCUCAACUGAAGAACAAUGUUGGUUGCUUUGUCUGUGGAAAAAUUGGUCACAGGGCCUUCUAAUGCGCCAUGAGGAAGCCUAUCCAAGAAGAUUAUUUACUGAGAACUUUGUGAAAAACUGAGAAUAAUUCAUGAAUUACGACUCUUUACUCACCUCAACAAAACGGAAUAACAAAAAGGAAAAGCAAAUCUUUAAAAGAAACGAUGAAUUUCUUUUUUGAUUGCUUCUGAUUUAUCCAAGGAAAUGUGGGGGGAGCUCACUACAAGAAAUCCAAAACUUUUCGUUAGUUUAACAGCACAUACAAAAAAUUCAUUGUUAAACUUUAAAUCUAACAGGAGAUCCAAAAUCG